rnacentral:rRNA from 1 species
UACGUAGGGUGCAAGCAUUAAUCGGAAUUACUGGGCGUAAAGCGUGCGCAGGCGGUUAUGUAAGACAGAUGUGAAAUGCCCGGGCUUAACCUGGGAACUGCAUUUGUGACUGCAUGGCUAGAGUUUGGCAGAGGGGGGUAGAAUUCCACGUGUAGCAGUGAAAUGCGUAGAUAUGUGGAGGAACACCGAUGGCGAAGGCAGCCCCCUGGGUCAAGACUGACGCUCAUGCACGAAAGCGUGGGGAGCAAACAGG